UGCCAAGAAGGGAUGAGAAGGCCUUUCUGAAAAGGGAGUGUUGAGAGGACAGCUGAAUGCUGACAAGAGGCAAUCAUUCCAAGAUCUGGACAUGAGUGUUCUAAGAAGAACCCUUACAAAGCUCUGAAAUGGGAAUGAGUUCUGCAUGUUCCGGGAGCUUAGUUACAGCUAGUGUAGCUACAGUACAGAAGACUAAGGGGUAGAGGCUGGCAGUGAAGACCGGACCUAGCAAGCAGGAUAAGAACACAGAGGUCUUGCAUUUUAUUCGAGUUGCCAUGGGAGCCACUGUUGACCAAGGUGAUGCCUGCUAAGCUUCUCCACUGUAAAAUCACUCCUGUACCUUUGCAGACUACUUUUUGAAGGGUCUACUUCAUCGUCUUGUGAAUGCUUUGAUGUCCUGCUCUGGGCCACCGUGACUUUGCCUCCCUUCCUCCACGAACAUAGACAUCAGCUUUGCUCAGCCCCAUCAAAGAUCAUAAUGCAUUGGAAAUUGCAACUUGAAAACACUUUGGAACAUAGAGAGUUGUGGUGAUCUCAGAAAGCUGAAAUUCUUCUUUUUCUUCUCUUAAGAAAUUAUUAUAUAGACUUAUUUUACCAG